AAAUAGGUAAGCUAAAUUUAAGCUAUUAGGUUCAUACCCUACUUAUAGAAUUAAAAAUUCUCCUAUUUA
rnacentral:tRNA from 1 species